AUACGGAGGGGGCAAGCGUUGUUCGGAAUUAUUGGGCGUAAAGCGUGCGUAGGUGGUCUGUUAAGUCAGGUGUGAAAGCCCUGGGCUCAACCUAGGAACUGCAUUUGAUACUGGCAGACUAGAGUGUGGUAGAGGGUAGUGGAAUUCCCGGUGUAGCGGUGAAAUGCGUAGAUAUCGGGAGGAACAUCAGUGGCGAAGGCGGCUACCUGGACCAACACUGACACUGAGGUACGAAAGCGUGGGGAGCAAACAGGAUUAGAUACCCCGGUAGUCC
rnacentral:rRNA from 1 species